ensembl:snoRNA Gm22784 small nucleolar RNA SNORA69
AAAGCAGGUUACAAGUACAGUUCUUCAUUUUGUGGAAGUAUUGCCACUUCAUUGCUGAAAGAGAAGCUAUGCUGAUGACUUCUGUUUUACCUUUAUGAAUGUAAAAAUGACAGCUUGACAAAGACAGCA